rnacentral:tRNA from 1 species
GCCACCGUGGCUCAGCUGGUAGAGCAGACGAUUCGUAAUCGUCAGGUCACGAGUUCGAAUCUCGUCGGUGGCUCAA